UGCAAGUCGAACGAGAAAGUUACCUUCGGGUAGCGAGUAAAGUGGCGCACGGGUGAGUAACGCGUAGAUAAUCUACCCUUGUGUACGGGACAACAUCGGGAAACUGGUGCUAAUACCGGAUACGUUUCUUUAGUAGCGAUAUUAGAGAAAGAAAGAUGGCCUCUUCUUGAAAGCUAUCGCACGAGGAUGAGUCUGCGUACCAUUAGCUAGUAGGUGGGGUAACGGCCCACCUAGGCGACGAUGGUUAGCGGGUCUGAGAGGAUGAUCCGUCACACUGGCACUGGAACACGGGCCAGACUCCUACGGGAGGCAGCAGUGAGGAAUUUUGCACAAUGGGGGCAACCCUGAUGCAGCGACGCCGCGUGAGUGAUGAAGGCUUUCGAGUCGUAAAACUCUGUCAAUAGGGAAGAAAUGUGUAUUGGUUAAUACCCCGUACAUUUGACGGUACCUAUAAAGGAAGCACCGGCUAAAUCCGUGCCAGCAGCCGCGGUAAUACGGAUGGUGCGAGCGUUGUUCGGAAUUACUGGGCGUAAAGGGCGCGUAGGCGGCCUGCCAAGUCAGAUGUGAAAGCCCACGGCUCAACCGUGGAAGUGCAUCUGAAACUGGUAGGCUUGAGUACUGGAGAGGAAAGUGGAAUUCCUGGUGUAGAGGUGAAAUUCGUAGAUAUCAGGGGGAAUACCGGUGGCGAAGGCGACUUUCUGGACAGAUACUGACGCUGAGGCGCGAAAGCGUGGGGAGCAAACAGGAUUAGAUACCCUGGUAGUCCACAGCUGUAAACGAUGUGCACUAGGUGUAGGGGGUCGUUUGACCCUUUCUGUGCC
rnacentral:rRNA from 1 species